rnacentral:rRNA from 1 species
CCGCGAGGGGACGGGUGGAUUUAUUAGAACAGAACCAAUCGGUUGUAGCUUCGGCUGCUUCCGUUGCACUCUGUGAUGACUCUGGAUAACUUCACUGAUCGCAGUCGGCCUUGUGUCGGCGACGUAUCUUUCAAAUGUCUGCCCUAUCAAUUUUCGAUGGUAGGUGACCUGCCUACCAUGGUGAUAACGGGUAACGGGGAAUCAGGGUUCGAUUCCGGAGAGGGAGCCUGAGAAACGGCUACCACUUCCAAGGAAGGCAGCAGGCACGCAAAUUACCCAAUCCCGGCACGGGGAGGUAGUGACGAAAAAUACGGAUACGGGACUCAUCAGAGGCUCCGUAAUUCGAAUGAGUACAAUUCAAAUCCUUUAACGAGGGACCCACUGGAGGGCAAGUCUGGUGCCAGCAGCCGCGGUAACUCCAGCUCCAGAAGCGUAUAUUAAAGUUGUUGCAGUUAAAAAGCUCGUAGUUGGAUCUGGGUCGCAUGGCUACAUGCCGUUGCUUGUAUUCCUGGCUUGGUUACGACUGGGUCGGGUUUGCGAGUCGGUGUCGUGGUUGUGCAGCCUUUCUGCCGUGUCUGUUUCGACAGGUGCUGACUGAAUCGGUGGGCUUGUCUUGCUGGUUUGUUGGCAUGCUUCCGGAUGCCUUUAAACGGGUGUCGGGGGCGGACGGCACGUUUACUUUGAACAAAUUUGAGUGCUCAAAGCAGGCCUGUGUGCCUGAAAAUUCUUGCAUGGAAUAAUGGAAUAGGACUUCGGUUCUAUUUUGUUGGUUUUCGGAUCCGAAGUAAUGGUUAAGAGGGACAGACGGGGGCAUUUGUAUGGCGGUGUUAGAGGUGAAAUUCUUGGAUCGCCGCCAGACAAACUACAGCGAAAGCAUUUGCCAAGGAUGUUUUCAUUGAUCUGGAGCGAAAGUCAGAGGUUCGAAGACGAUCAGAUACCGUCCUAGUUCUGACCAUAAACGAUGCCAACUGACGAUCCGUGGUGGUUCUUUUAUUGUCCCCGCGGGCAGUCCCCGGGAAACCUUUAAGUCUUUGGGCUCCGGGGGAAGUAUGGUUGCAAAGCUGAAACUUAAAGGAAUUGACGGAAGGGCACCACCAGGAGUGGAGCCUGCGGCUUAAUUCGACUCAACACGGGAAAA